UACAGGGGGUGCAAACGUUGCUCGGAAUCACUGGGCGUAAAGCGCACGUAGGCGGAUUCUUAAGUUAGGGGUGAAAUCCUGGAGCUCAACUCCAGAACUGCCUUUGAUACUGGGAGUCUUCGAGUCCGGGAGAGGUGAGUGGAACUGCGAGUGUAGAGGUGAAAUUCGUAGAUAUUCGCAAGAACACCAGUGGCGAAGGCGGCUCACUGGCCCGGUACUGACGCUGAGGUGCGAAAGCGUGGGGAGCAAACAGG
rnacentral:rRNA from 1 species